GAUGAAGAACUUAGCGAAAUGCGAUAAGUAAUGUGAAUUGCAGAAUUCAGUGAAUCAUCGAAUCUUUGAACGCACAUUGCGCCCCCUGGUAUUCCGGGGGGCAUGCCUGUUCGAGCGUCAUUACAACCCUCAAGCUCUGCUUGGUGUUGGGCCCCGCCGCCCCGGCGGGCCCUAAAAUCAGUGGCGGUGCCGUCCGGCUCCGAGCGUAGUAAUUCUUCUCGCUCUGGAGGUCCGGGUGUGUGCUCGCCAGCAACCCCCAAUUUUUUUCAGGUUGACCUCGGAUCAGGUAGGGAUACCCGCUGAACUUAAGCAUAUCAAUAAGCGGAGGA
rnacentral:misc_RNA from 1 species